UGUGAAUAUAUGAACAUUUUCAAAACUUAUAUACUGGAGGAAAUCCCCUAAACUGGCCAGGAAAUACCCAGAACUGUCCCCCAGGAAAGCCUACAUAUGAAAAGGCAAGUUUAACCAAGUUGCUCCAAAGCACUAGCCCCUUUCAGGUUUUGGACACGUGGCCUCUCUGGCUGAAUGGACAGAAAGUCUGAAUGUGUAAGAGCAGCUAAAAACAACAACCCAAACAAGACAGCCAUUCUCAAUCCCCUCAGACCACCGCUCUGAGAGGCUUGCUUGCCGACGGGUUCUACAUGUUAAAUAACUCCCUAUUCUUAGUUCACGUUGACUUGGUGGCCCGAGCCAGGUGAAAAGACAAUUGACCCAAACAGCCAAAUUGAGCUCAAAACUUCGCUAACGAGGUGAAUAUUUUCUAAUCCCGGUUGGCAUUGUUCGGCACCAAGUGCCACUUUCUAAAAAUAUGUCCCUUGCGUCAAAGGAAAAUUGUUAAAAGACGGUGGGGGUGGGGCAGAAAAGGAGUCUCUUAAUGAACUGUUUUAUAGUUUUGUUGUGUGCUUUCUUGCAGGCGACUUUUUGGCAAAUACUGCAUCUUCAGCCAGGAGAAGUUGGCUGAGUACAAAAGAGCUUUUGAAGCGGGGAGAAAAAAGUGAAAACAUUUGGAAAUGCAGAUGGAAUGCUUCCCUUUACUUGGAUUCAUCAUCUCUUCCUUUGCUCCCCAAAACUGUGAAUAUCUACAUUAGGCACAGUAAGAGUGGGUGUUCGGGAAUUCCUGCAGUAAAACGAUCAGGUAAGACAUGAUGCGAGAAUGUGGAGCAUGAGACCAGAGUGGUGAGGGAGACAUGACAGUGAUCAGGAAACAGAAAAAAAAUGAGGAGCAAGUGUGAACCACCUCUCUUGCCUUCUUUUGGCACAGAAGAGAAUCACAGGAAAUGGGCUUUAAAGAGGGAAGGAGCACUUUAAUGGAAGCAAUUGACCUGAGAAAAGAAUUAAGGGAUGCAAAUAUUAACGAAAGUUACAAAGACUUCUGUGUUGCUUUCCCUUAAAGUCUCGGAUGCUGGGGAGGAGGUAAGAUUCAUCUUCUCCUGGCUUGAGGUACUCAGAUCAGCAUGAG
rnacentral:lncRNA from 12 species